rnacentral:rRNA from 1 species
CUCAACCGCAAGGAGGGGGAUGCCUAAGGCAGGGCUAGUGACUGGGGUGAAGUCGUAACARGGUAGCCGUACCGGAAGGUGUGGCUGGAUCACCUCCUUA